CUGUAAUGUCAAAAACAAGAAUACUCACAAUACUCACAAAUAUUUCUAAAUUCUGGAAGAACUGAGUUGGGGAAAAAAGUGCCAUGUAUGCACCAAGGUAAAACACUGGAAGCUGGACUUCACCGAGAUAAAGAAGAAAUGGAGGACAAAUCAAAGAUUUGAUUAAAUGGACCAGAACCAGUGGGAAAUGUGAGACCCAACUCAGCAAAUCCAGCACCAUGUUGAGAACAUUCUCCUCCGUUUUGAAAAAUAUGUGACUUCCAGUUGCACUCUGUCUCCCAGGAGAAAACCCCACCCCUAACCAAUAAACAGAAACUGUGUUUCAGGUGAUCUUCCACAAACCAUUACCCAGGGGAAUGGGAGGAAUUAACUGUGCUCAUCCUGGCUUCUGUAACCAGCUUCUGCAAUAAUCUGUAACCCAGGGGAAUGGGAGGAGG
ensembl:lncRNA